GAGCCGCCUGUUUCGGGUGCCGCCAUGUUGGUGAGGAGAAAUCACCGUUACGGCCACUGUCCAAAUCCCCGCGUCGCUGCACGCCGCCCGCCGGCUCCCACGCCUCAGCCUCCGGCGGCGAAUACAGACUAGAGCGGCAGCGCCGGCAGCGCGGGGCCGUUGCCCAGUCUUUGCAGUUAGAGCCCCAUCUCUCUGGCGUUGGUUGUUAAUAGACUGGAAAGUCUGUGUCUGUGUCGCUCACUAGUAACCGUGAGUUUUUACCACUUCGUCACCUGUCGGCGGCGGCCGGGGACAGGGUUGCCCGCAGGCGGCGCAGGGGUCCUCCCCGCGCCCCGCUGCCGCCGCCACCGCCGCCGCCGGCCUCCAGACCUGCCCUCCAGCCCCGCCCCGUUCUUGACCAAACAUGACAGACUCUGAACAUGCAGGGCACGACAGAGAAGAUGGUGAAUUAGAAGAUGGAGAAAUAGAUGAUGCAGGAUUUGAAGAAACACAAGAUCAGGAAGCAAAAGAAAAUGAAAAGCAAAAAAAUGAGAAAGCCUACAGAAAAUCAAGG
rnacentral:lncRNA from 1 species